rnacentral:ribozyme from 12 species
AAAAAGAAGAAGAAAGGGUGGGUAAGAUGAUGCUUUUUGUCGCCACAUUUUCCUUCUUUUCACCUCCUCCCUCUUUAUCUCUCCUCUUUUCCUUUUCCCCUUUUUCUU